UACGGAGGAUCCGAGCGUUAUCCGGAUUUAUUGGGUUUAAAGGGAGCGUAGGCGGGUUGUUAAGUCAGCGGUCAAAUGUCGGGGCUCAACCCCGGCCUGCCGUUGAAACUGGCGGCCUCGAGUGGGCGAGAAGUAUGCGGAAUGCGCGGUGUAGCGGUGAAAUGCAUAGAUAUCGCGCAGAACCCCGAUUGCGAAGGCAGCCUGCCGGCCCCACACUGACGCUGAGGCACGAAAGCGUGGGUAUCGAACAGG
rnacentral:rRNA from 1 species